GACGAACGCUGGCGGCGCGCUUAACACAUGCAAGUCGAACGGAAAGGCCUGCUUUCCCUUGUGGAUUGCGGGUACUCGAGUGGCGAACGGGUGAGUAACACGUGAGUGAUCUGCCCCCAACUUGGGUAUAAGCCUGGGAAACUGGGUCUAAUUCCCGAUAGGACUGCAGGGUGGUGCCUGUGGUGGAAAACGAUUUUCUAGAGGUUGGGGAUGAGCUCGCGGCCUAUCAGCUUGUUGGUGGGGUAAUGGCCUACCAAGGCGGCGACGGGUAGCCGGCCUGAGAGGGUGGACGGCCACAUUGGGACUGAGAUACGGCCCAGACUCCUACGGGAGGCAGCAGUGGGGAAUAGUGCACAAUGGGCGGAAGCCUGAUGCAGCGACGCCGCGUGGGGGAUGACGGCCUUCGGGUUGUAAACUCCUUUCGACCGCGAGGAAGCCACCUGGUUGGAAGGGUGGUGACGGUAGUGGUAGAAGAAGCACCGGCUAACUACGUG
rnacentral:rRNA from 1 species